rnacentral:lncRNA from 1 species
UAGAUCAUUCUUUCUUCAUGGUCAAGAGUCAACAAUUGUAGGCUUUCUUUCACGUUCAAAUUAGCAAGUUCACCUUCCUUCGUGCUCUCUUGAAGACUCCAGCAGCCAUUAUAAUAAUAUUUUAAUAUGUGCCCAUUCUCUUGAUCAGCGUGUGGGAGCUUCUUCACGUGUUUCUCAUGCACGUAGAUUUCCCCAGCUUGUUCUAGGUUUUUCUUUGAUGCUUCUUCACAGAGUCUUCAAGUUCAAGGAUUUAUUGAAAAUGGAUCACUAAUUUCCAACACUCCCCCUGAUUCAUUUUAGGAUAAUCCAGACUUGUGUUGUAAAGUCUCGGACAUACCUGAAAUUUUUUCUUGUAAUUUGUCCCAUGCCUUUUAUGUCGUCUUUGUUCCAUGAUCCCUUGUAUUCUCCCGUCAAAACACUUGCACUUGCCUCAAAUGUGCAUGUUUUUUCUUCAACGAUGUCCCAUACGUCUCGGAACAUCAAAAUGCAUUUAGUUGUAGUUGUUAGCUCGGGCUCUGGCUCUCUUGGCUCUCGCUCGGGCUCUGGCCUUCUUAGUUGAGGAUGGUGAGGACAAACGCCCAUAACCAUCCGAUGUGCCUAUCUCUGGCUUCACGAUCCUUUACACCUGGCUCAGUUACGAACCUGGGUGCAACUGGCUCUGAUACCAUGUUAAAAAAUUUUGGAUGUGUGUGCUGCGGAAGCAUGAUUUUGGUAUUAGUUAUAGUUUUUGGUUAGCGACGUGUGCAAGUGUAUGGUAUAGUUUGUAUUUGAUAGAGGAUGGACAAGGGACAAUAUGUGAUAGUUGGAGGAUAUAAGACACAGGAUAUGGGGGAAAAUAGUUUCAUUAGUUGGAUAAAAUAGUUUGAUAGAUCUAUGACUUCUCAUGGUGGAGGAUUUUCCCACACAAGGUGGACCUCUCACACGAUGGAGGUAUUUCCCUCUCCAUACAAUUACAUGAUCAACAUUCAAGCCUAUUUAUAGGCGUGAAUCACCGCCAUCCUUCACCGACAUUAGUACAAAAAAUAAUAUAAAAUUACAGCUUGCUUCUUGUCUUCUUUUGUUGCGACUUCUUCCGCAUCUUCUGGUGGCUUCUCCAUUUAUCUUCAUUUUUUUAUUCUUUCGGCUGCCCACGUACUCUAGAUCAUUCUUUCUUCAUGGUCAAGAGUCAACAAUUGUAGGAUUUCUUUCACGUUCAAAUUAGCAAGUUCACCUUCCUUCGUGCUCUCUUGAAGACUCCAGCAGCCAUUAUAAUAAUAUUUUAAUAUGUGCCCAUUCUCUUGAUCAGCGUGUGGGAGCUUCUUCACGUGUUUCUCAUGCACGUAGAUUUCCCCAGCUUGUUCUAGGUUUUUCUUUGAUGCUUCUUCACAGAGUCUUCAAGUUCAA